rnacentral:rRNA from 1 species
GUGCCAGCCGCCGCGGUAAUACGUAGGUGGCAAGCGUUGUCCGGAUUUAUUGGGCGUAAAGUGAGCGCAGGCGGUUUCUUAAGUCUGAUGUGAAAGCCCCCGGCUCAACCGGGGAGGGUCAUUGGAAACUGGGAGACUUGAGUGCAGAAGAGGAGAGUGGAAUUCCAUGUGUAGCGGUGAAAUGCGUAGAUAUAUGGAGGAACACCAGUGGCGAAGGCGGCUCUCUGGUCUGUAACUGACGCUGAGGCUCGAAAGCGUGGGGAGCGAACAGGAUUAGAUACCCUGGUAGUCCACGCCGUAAACGAUGAGUGCUAAGUGUUGGAGGGUUUCCGCCCUUCAGUGCUGCAGCAAACGCAUUAAGCACUCCGCCUGGGGAGUACGACCGCAAGGUUGAAACUCAAAGGAAUUGACGGGGGCCCGCACAAGCGGUGGAGCAUGUGGUUUAAUUCGAAGCAACGCGAAGAACCUUACCAGGUCUUGACAUCCUUUGACCACUCUAGAGAUAGAGCUUCCCCUUCGGGGGCAAAGUGACAGGUGGUGCAUGGUUGUCGUCAGCUCGUGUCGUGAGAUGUUGGGUUAAGUCCCGCAACGAGCGCAACCCUUAUUGUUAGUUGCCAUCAUUUAGUUGGGCACUCUAGCGAGACUGCCGGUGACAAACCGGAGGAAGGU